GCUUUGCCCAGGUAAGAAUUCAAGGGCAACCCAGCGGUGAAAGAAAGCAACUUUUGUUAAACUGGUACUGCUUCUCGUGGAGGAAGGCUAACCCAUGGGCAGUGUGUGGGUUGCUAGCUAGCUGUAUUUAUUUAGAUGCUUUUAAUUAGAUGCUAAUUAGGAAGUGGGUUAUUCAGAACUUUUUGGAAAAGGGAUGAGGAGUUUCCAGAAGCAUAUAAGGUAACUUCCUGGCCAUUGCCAUGGCAUGUUGACAUGGCAUUUAUAAACUGUCAUGGCACUGGUAGGAGUGUCUUUAUGCUAAUGAGCAGUGAGGGCAACUAGAGGUAGCUUUUGUCUCCAUCUGCUGGUUUUGGUCAGCUUCUUUACUGCACCCUGUUUGGACCAGAUCCUGCUCUGAUCAACUGGGCCACAACCGCAAAAUAAGUCCUGCCACUUUCCUGCCUCAGUAGAAUCUCUGCCAAAGAAUGAUCUUGAAAGUUUGCUGUUUACUCAUCAUCUGGAAAAAUCUUCCUGUAUAGGCCAAAUUCCCACCCUUGAGAUUUCUGAAGGACCAACAAGUAAAAACAGUAUACUCCAAUGGGACUGUUAGAUUUCAACUAACUUACUCUCCUUUGGAUUUCUUUUUCUGAAAAUAAAUUCUUCACACACACUGACUUGUCUUUUGCAAUCCAAUGUAAAAGUGGGACAUCUUCUUCAGAAGCUUUGAAACAUACAAAUUAGCCUCAAACUUACCUACCAGACUUCCAGGCUAGAAGGCUGAUUCAUGUAAGAAGGACUAAGAAGACACUUCACCCAUAUCCUGGGUAACAGGAGGGGAUCCUUUAGAUAGGUUUGUACACCAGGCUGGCAACCUACACUUUCUUCUAGCAGUGAGAGGUACUGAGAUCCGUCACCCCCUCCUGCAAGGCCAAGACCCAGAGAGAGCCAAAUUUUAGCCUAGAAUUCAGCCAGCUCUUCACAGUCUCCCA
rnacentral:lncRNA from 10 species